rnacentral:piRNA from 1 species
UAGUUUGUUAUUACAGACCCCAAUAUGAGU